UAUGUAUUCUGCAAAGGGCACCCCAAUCCACAACAUCAACCUUUGUAGUGUUAAAAUGCAACAAAGUCGUUCUUAAGUCAAUAAAUUGGGUCAUCCAAAUGAUGGUGGUCGAAUAUCAUAAAAGGUUUGCACUAUCUUAUAUAGGAGUGGGCAAAACCCAAACCAACCCGAGUAAGCUACCCAACUGGAUCCAAACUGACUGGUUUGGGUUGGAUUUUUGCUAUUUUUUGAUGGGUUUCGGGUAUUGGGUUGAGUAGUCCGGUCGGGUCGGGUUAGGUUUAACAAGAAAACCCCGAUAUAACCCGACCCAACCCAAUAAAAUUUUUUUUUAAAAAAAAAAAAAAGAAAGGAAAAAAUGAAAUAAAAUGAGAAAAAAAGCCCUAAACUUUACUCGUCUCACGUCUUCAAUCCCGCCUCAAAGUCGACAGGCCCUAAUCUGUCUCCCAUCUAUAUCUCUCAAAUCGUCGACGAUGAUCUUCAUUUUCCCGUUGCCGAUCAUCGGACAUCCACACUCCAGUGCUAGAGUGAGUAUAUACUGUAUAUUUCCUUAUUCUGGCUCCACCAAUUCUCCCUUUCAUAAAGAUCAUUGUAAUUUGUAAAUAAUCUUAUCACUCCCAAUUCUAACUAGGCCCAAAAAUCAUCAAUCGUCGUCUAACAAUACCCUUUAUUGCUAUUAAUUGUUUUUUGAAAGGCUGGUUUUUUUUCUCUUCAUAAAAGCUUUGGUGGGUGAAUUGUUUUUGUUGGGUUCUGUGUAGAUGAAAGAGGGACCUCAGAAGAGCUGAAAAGAAGACUUGGCUUCCAAUUUAGAGAGAGAAAGAUAGCUGUAAAGUGAAGGCAAAUAUGAGAUCAUUGAGAUGUACAGAUACACAAUUUAUAGCUGUCUGUGAAAAAAAUAUUUAUGGAGACAGUUUAUACUAUAUCAAAUAAUAUAAAUUUUUAUCCCAGGUUCUGCGAUUCGUUCGUUUGAAAAAUUAGUUCACUAUGGAGAAAUUACACUGAAAAUGAUAUAUACAGGGGAAAUUAUAUAUGACAAUUUCGACAACUAUAAUAUAACAUACCAGAUGAGUAUUGAAUUUUCCAGGCCUUUUCCUAACAGAGAAAUGUAGACUUUUGUUUGGAG
rnacentral:lncRNA from 1 species